UUUAAUAUGGCAGAUUAGUGCAAUAGAUUUAAAUUCUAUGCAUAAAGAAUCCCUUCUUUUAUUAAA
rnacentral:tRNA from 1 species